rnacentral:rRNA from 1 species
CGGAAUAGUCCGUUAAAGGGUGUAGAUGUUGAUUAUCCCAGGCAAAUCCGGGAUAAGAGUCGAACCUGACAGUAUACCAAUUUCCCCGGAAAACGGUAAUAGUGCGUGUAAACAUACUCCCAAGAAAAUCCGCUAAACUUAAUCUUACAGGUACCCGUACCGUAAACGGACACACGUAGUCGGGUUGAAUAUACUCAGGCGCUUGAGUGAAUCACGGUUAAGGAACUAGGCAA